rnacentral:rRNA from 1 species
AGUGAACGCUGGCGGUAGGCCUAACACAUGCAAGUCGAACGGCAGCACAGCAGUAGCAAUACUGUGGGUGGCGAGUGGCGGACGGGUGAGGAAUACAUCGGAAUCUACCUUGUCGUGGGGGAUAACGUAGGGAAACUUACGCUAAUACCGCAUACGACCUUCGGGUGAAAGUGGGGGACCGCAAGGCCUCACGCGAUUAGAUGAGCCGAUGUCGGAUUAGCUAGUUGGCGGGGUAAUGGCCCACCAAGGCGACGAUCCGUAGCUGGUCUGAGAGGAUGAUCAGCCACACUGGAACUGAGACACGGUCCAGACUCCUACGGGAGGCAGCAGUGGGGAAUAUUGGACAAUGGGCGCAAGCCUGAUCCAGCCAUACCGCGUGGGUGAAGAAGGCCUUCGGGUUGUAAAGCCCUUUUGUUGGGAAAGAAAUCCUAUCGAUUAAUACUCGGUGGGGAUGACGGUACCCAAAGAAUAAGCACCGGCUAACUUCGUGCCAGCAGCCGCGGUAAUACGAAGGGUGCAAGCGUUACUCGGAAUUACUGGGCGUAAAGCGUGCGUAGGUGGUUGUUUAAGUCUGUUGUGAAAGCCCUGGGCUCAACCUGGGAAUUGCAGUGGAUACUGGGCGACUAGAGUGUGGUAGAGGAUAGUGGAAUUUCCGGUGUAGCAGUGAAAUGCGUAGAGAUCGGAAGGA